rnacentral:rRNA from 1 species
AUUGAACGCUGGCGGCAUGCUUUACACAUGCAAGUCGAACGGUAACAGGGAGCUUGCUCCGCUGACGAGUGGCGAACGGGUGAGUAAUGCAUCGGAACGUACCCAGUCGUGGGGGAUAACGUAGCGAAAGUUACGCUAAUACCGCAUACGUCCUGAGGGAGAAAGCGGGGGACCGAAAGGCCUCGCGCGAUUGGAGCGGCCGAUGUCGGAUUAGCUAGUUGGUAGGGUAAAGGCCUACCAAGGCGACGAUCCGUAGCGGGUCUGAGAGGAUGAUCCGCCACACUGGGACUGAGACACGGCCCAGACUCCUACGGGAGGCAGCAGUGGGGAAUUUUGGACAAUGGGCGCAAGCCUGAUCCAGCCAUGCCGCGUGAGUGAAGAAGGCCUUCGGGUUGUAAAGCUCUUUCAGGUGGAAAGAAAACGCAUGGGUCAAUACCCUGUGUGGACUGACGGUACCAUCAGAAGAAGCACCGGCUAACUACGUG